UACGAAGGGGGCGAGCGUUGUUCGGAAUUACUGGGCGUAAAGGGCGCGCAGGCGGCUCUGAAAGUCAGAUGUGAAAGCCCCGGGCUAACCUGGGAAUUGCAUUUGAUACUCUGGAGCUUGAGUACGGGAGAGGAGAGUGGAAUUCCCAGUGAGAGGUGAAAUUCGUAGAUAUUGGGAAGAACACCGGUGGCGAAGGCGGCUCUCUGGACCGUAACUGACGCUGAGGCGCGAAAGCGUGGGGAGCA
rnacentral:rRNA from 1 species